AGCCUCAAUUCCUCACGCCUCCCCUACAGAGUGGCCCAAUGGAGGCUGAAGAGGAUUCUCUUCCGGAGCAGCCAGAGGACUCAGCUCAGCUCCAACAGGAGAAGCCAUCCCUGUAUAUUGGGGUGCGGGGCACUGUUGUCCGUUCCAUGCAGGAGGUACUAUGGACUCGCCUUCGGGAGCUCCCAGACCCAGUGCUGAGUGAGGAAGUGGUGGAGGGCAUUGCUGCUGGCAUUGAGGCAGCCCUCUGGGACCUGACGCAAGGCACCAAUGGCCGGUACAAGACCAAGUAUCGCAGCCUGCUGUUCAACCUGCGGGACCCCAGGAACCUGGACUUGUUUCUCAAAGUGGUUCAUGGAGAUGUCACCCCCUACGACCUGGUGCGGAUGAGCUCGAUGCAGCUGGCCCCCCAGGAGCUGGCCCGCUGGCGGGACCAGGAGGAGAAAAGGGGCCUGAAUAUCAUUGAGCAGCAACAGAAGGAGCCGUGCAGACUUCCAGCCUCCAAAAUGACCCACAAGGGCGAAGUGGAGAUUCAGCGGGACAUGGACCAGACACUGACCCUGGAGGAUCUGGUGGGACCGCAG
rnacentral:sRNA from 1 species